CCCGGCAGCCCCCGCCACCCCCGGGACGCCCCUCCGCUUCCUCCUCCCGGAGCGGGGGCCCCUGGCCGCGUCUCUCCGCCUUCCCUCCCUAUCCGCGCCCCUAUCCGGCGCGGGCCGCUGCGGAAACGCAGCUCUCCACCCCCAGCUGGCUCUCCCGGACCCCCUGGGCCCCACCCUCAGCGCUCCCCACCGCUCGGCGCCCCUGCGUCUGCGCUCCCCUCUCUCCCCUCUCUAUCCACUGGGUCUGGGCCGCACUUCCCGCCCACCCGCCUGCCAGCGGCCGGGAAGCCUGUGGAAGUUAUGGGGAUGCAGGGAGAGGGGGAGAGGGGAGCUUGUGUGCUAGGGUCUGCAAAGCUCGUCUGCAUCAGACAGGAAUUUUCCCCAGACGCGGGUGCACGUGAAUUAAUUCAUCAGAAGGCGGUUCACGGCCUGAGUGAGGGGGACGAGGGCGGCGAAUUCCUCCGCCUCAUUCCUACCCUGACGAUUCGAGCCUUAGCAAGUUCUGGCCUGUGGAGCCGUCAUCCAGAGCGCACAGCUUCAUGCCCUUGAAGGGCGCAGUGUGUCCCGUGGUGCCCGGUGGGCCCGGACAGAGACCCCAGAGGCUCUGUCUGAAGGAAGCUGCACCCACAGACUCCAUCCAGGCAGCGCGGGCGCGGUCCUGUCGCCUACCUUUCUCGGAAGCCAUCUGCCCAUGUGAAUCUAUGUGAAGGCCCUUCAUGCGCUCCUGGACAUCUGCGUGGGAUUUACUUCAACUGCUAUCGCUGCGAGGAGGACGAGCAUGUUUCACUGUAUUUUUAGCAGAGAGUGCAGAUUUUAGAACCUCGCGAACGGUCCUGUAUCUCCUGCACGAUGACUCUCCAGAACAGGAAUAGUGACCCUUCCUUUGCAUUUAUGGUGCAUAGGUUUUCAAAGGACAGUGUGUAAAUCAGCUUGUGUAAUAAUUGUGGCACCCACGCGCGCAAGCAGACUUACCAUGAGCUGACUUCCACUGAUUAUUUCAGUUUCCAGGGAAACGAGGUUUGCAGCCCCCUCCAGUGAGGGCGGAGCGGCCUCUCCAUUCCCAAUGCAGCAAGGCUGCUGCAGCCACGAUGAUUAGGCUUUGGAGGAGGAAGUGAACGGAUGGGGCCUCAUCCUCCUGCCUCCCUAAAGGAUGCUCGCUUCACCCCACUGAGAUGUAACUCAGUUUUGUGGGAUCCCACUGCCCUCCAGGUGCCGCUCCGAGUGCUCUACACAGAUUUUCAUUCAGUCCUUGCGGCACACGAAGGUAGGCGGCCCCACUGCCCUCACAGAGGCUUCCCAUGCAGGAGCCAGUGACUGGCGGAGCGCCGCUCACACUCAGGCUCCGCGAACUGCCUCCCUGCCCUCCCCUGCCCCGGACAGACGGUCCUCCAUAAGAGGCAGGAUUUCCCUGUGGUCCAAAGGUGUGUGUCCCUGCCACAUUGGGAGUUCAGCUCACUGCGGUCCUGUCCAGCUUGCCCCCGUCUCCCAUCCACAUCAGGAUCUGGCUUUGCCCCAGCUAUGUGGAAUGAGUGCAUGAACAAAUGAAUGGGUGGGUUGCUCCAUCUUGUGACAGGACAGCAAAGUCAGCUGGUUCUGCUCCUACGGCGCUCAGGGUCAGGUGAGACAGGCCGGCCCGCAGGCAGACAGGCCCUCAUCUCUGUAUUGGGGGUGGGGAAGGGGCUCUGGCAGGGCGCAUGCCCCAGCAGCAGGAACGUCAAGAGCAGAGGCCCUGGAGGAGACAGCCCGGAGCUGGCGCACAGUAAAGUCUUCAGAUAGGAGGGGCAGAGUGAGGGUGCCACCGUCGGGCAGCAGGUGCCCACCCAGAAGGGUCUUUGAGCCUUGCGGGGAAGUUCAGACUUUACCCUGAGGAUAAAGGAGGUCCUGGACCCGCAGGAGGAUGCCCUGGUGGGUCUAGAAGGAGCCCUGCCACUGGGGAGCUGGUGGGGUUUCCGCCCUCACGGUGCAAUCACAGGGUUGCCUGCUUAUCUCCCCCGCCCUUUUCCCAUCACUUCCUGAGACUCUGCAGAUGGUCAGCAGUGUUCCUGAGUGGAUGACAUUGGGUGGGCAGAGAGAGGGGAGGGCAGUCUGUGGUCCCAGUCAUGUAGAGCUUCCUUGUACAGUCUGUGGUCCCAGUCAUGUAGAGCUUCCUUGUACAGUCUGUUGAGCUCACAUACCCUCAAUGGCCCUUCACUCACAGGGAUGGCCUCUGCACUUCAGCUGGUUUCUGACACCUAAAAACAGAAGUGGAAAAGGGAGCAGACGCAGCCACAUUUUGAAAGCUGAUUCGGUUGCUUUCUGGCAGAAUCCCUGCCCCCAAGCACCUGCCAGGCCCACCCAUGAAGCCUCUUCCCACGCCUUAACUCUGCCCCAUGAGGGGACCUCAAGCAGUUGCAGUCUAGUCAGGUGAUUUGCAGAGCUCAGGGCUCAGGGAGGGGCACCCACCUCAGAAAAAAGCGCCGUGCUCAUGAGAAAUGACUUCUACAGGUUGUUGGGGAAAGAGGAGUUAUUUUAAAGAUCACAGAGCCCGUGAUGUGCCAGGCGCACCCACACAGGGCAUAUAGUCCCCGCAGCUGCCUCUGUGCUGGGGCCACGUCACCGUCCUGUCCUAAAGACAAGCAAUGUGAAGCCCAGAGAUGGUAUCUUAAAACAAUCGUGUGGUUUUUUUCUGAUUACAACAGCAAUUGUGUUAAUCCAACAAUAUUUUUCCUAUCAACUGUAAACCUUAUUUUAAUAUUUACAUAUUUAUUAGCAUUUAAAAUUCAAUCUCCUAGAAUAUUGACUUCAAUUAGUUUGGCUGAUUCUAAUUUUUUUUUUCUAAUUUGUUUAUCACUUAACUUUUUAAGUACUUUUUUUUUUUAGACAGAGUCUUGCUCUGUCACCCAGGCUGGAGUGCAGUGGUGCAAUCUCGGCUCACUGCAACCUCUGCCUCCUGGGCUCAAGCGAUUCUCCUGCCUCAACCUCCCGAGUAGCUGGGACUACAGGCUCACACCACCAUGCCCAGCUAAUUUUUAUAUUUUUAGUAGAGAUGGGGUUUCACCAUGUUGUCCAGGCUGGUCUCGAACUCCUGACCUCAAGUGAUCCCCCACCUCAGCCUCCCAAAGUGCUGGGAUUACAGGUGUGAGCCACCGUGCCUGGCCUGUUUUUAGUACUUUUAUCCUUUAUCUUUUUAACUACGUAAGUACUCAACAUUUUAAAUUAUUAAUCUUCACCAUGUUAUUUCCAAGAACAAUCACGAUUGAUCUUUCAGUUACACAGCCACGGUGUGUGCCUCUCUGUGUAACUCUGCACAGCUGGUGAUUUACUGAAAGAACUUACUCUCAUAAAACCACAGCCAGCGAGUUCUCAGAGACACAAUAAUGCACCUUAAUUAUGAGUUUAAAAGCUCUUGUCUUGUGAAAUGUAAUCGAUCCACAGAAAAAUCAUAAAGUAUACAUGUAAUAGCUUAAUGACUUAUAAAUGAAGAUCUGUAUACUUCCCACUCGAAAAACGGAAUAUUGCAGGAUUUGAGUACACAACCCGUACCUUUCCAACGACAGCCUCCCUCCCACCAGAGCUUCUGCUGAGUUCACUUGAAAUCACUUCCUUGCAUUUAUUUAUACUUUUAUUACCUUGAGGUGCAUCCCUAACCAUUCUAGUUCGAUUUUGCCUGGUGUUUGAACUUUAUAUUAAUGGAAUCAUAGGACAUAAUUCUUAUAUCUCUGGUUUCUUUCAUUCAACUUUGUGUCUGCGAAAUGUAUCCAUGUUGCAUGCAACGGGGGCUCAUUCAUCGCUGGUUACUGAUUCACUGCAUGAGUAUGACACAGUUUAUUAACCAUUUCACUGCUGAUGAACAUUUGAUCAUUUCUAGUUUGGGAAUAUUAUUAAUAAUUUUUGAACCUUCUUAUUUGUGUGCCCUGAUGUACAUGGACAUGCAUUUUAGGGGUGUAUACUUAGGGAAAUUGCCGGUUCAUGAGUAACACCUAUCUUCAGGUAUUACUUUUUGUGCCCUUUUAUGCUGAACUACAAUUUACGUGCAAUACCAAUCAUUCAUAUUAAGUGUACAACUCAGUGAGUUUAGACAACUGGACACCUUGUUGUGAGUCACCACCACCGAGAUGAUCCAGCACUGUCCCAACUCCCCCCAAGUUCUCCUUUGCAGGCACCCUCUCCCUCCAUUCUGGGCACAGGCAACCAUGAACCACUAUCUGUCACCGUAGCUUUAGUAUAAAAUUUCACAUACAUGGACUCAGGGAGCAUAGAGUCUUUCCUGUCUGGCUUCUUUCCGCUGGCAAAAUGCUUGGAGACUUUUCCACGUUGCUGCAUGAAUCAAUGGAUCAUUUGUUUUCGUGGCUGAGCAGAAUUCCACCAACAUUUGUUUACUCAUCCAUGAAAUGAUGGACAUUUGGUGUUUUUCCAUUGAGAUUGUUAUGAAUAAUGCUGCUAUUGUCAUUCAAGGACAAGUCUUCUGUGAACAUCUGUUUUCACUUCUCUUGGGUACAUCCUUAGAAGUGGUAUUGCUGGACUGUAUCAAAAGUUAAUAUUUAACUUUCAGGAAACUUACAAACUGUUUUCCAGAGUGGCUGUACCAUUUUGCAUUCCCAGACCGAAGUGUGAAAGCUCCAGAUGCCCCACGCCCUCACCAGCCCACGGUGUUGUCAGCCUUAAUAGUGCUGACCAUUCUGCCUGUUAAUAUGAUGAAUUACACUGAUUCAGUUUCAAAUGUCCAACCAAGCUUGCACUCCAGAGAUGAAGCCCACUUGAUCACAUGGAUUAUUCUUUUAAUAUAUGAUGGAUACGACUUGGCUGUUCUUUUGUUGAGGAUUUUUGUGUUUAUGUUAAUGAGGAUAUUAUUUGUAGUUUUCUUUUCUUGUAAUGUUUUUGUCUUUGUUCAGUGUCAGAGUAAUGCCAACUUCAUAAAGUGAGCUGGGAAGUACUCCCUCAUUUUCUGUUUUCUGUGAAAGAAUUGUAUAGAAUUGAUGUUAUUUCUUCCUUAAGUGUUGAGUAGAAUUCACUUGCAAAGCCAUCUGAGGUUGACAUCUUCUUUGGGAAUGACUUUAGCUAUAAAUUCAAUUUAUUUAACAGAUAUAGGGCUAUUAAGGUUAUUUAAUUUUUUUCUUGAAUGAGCUUUAGUGUCCUGUGUUUUUCAAGGAAUUUUUCCAUUUUAUUUAAGUUUUUAGAUUUGUUGGCAUAAAGUUAUCCCAAUAUUUCCUUAGAAGUUGUGACUUUUACUGCAUAUAAAACAUACCUCAAUAAAGCUAAUACAUACAUAUAUAUAUAUGAAUCAUUUCUGGCCAGGUACAGUGGCUCAUGCCUGUAAUCCCAGCACUUUGGGAGGCAGAGGCAGGUGGAUCACCUGAGAUCAGGUGUUCCAGACCAGCCUGGCCAACAUGGGAAACCUGUCUCUACUAAAAAUACAAAAAUUAGCCAGGUGUGGUGGCAUGCCCCUGUAAUCCCAGCUACUUAGGAGGCUGAGACAGAAGAAUCGCUUGAAUCCGGGAGGUGGAGUUUGCAGUGAGCUGAGAUUGCACCACUGCACUCCAGCCUGGGCAACAGACUGAGACUCCAUCUCAAAAAAAAAAAAAAAAAUCCCUUUUUAUCUAAAGGAUCUGUAGUGAAGUCCCCUCUUUCAUUUCUGAUAUUGGUAAUUUGUGGGGUUUUUUUGUUUU
rnacentral:lncRNA from 10 species